CCCUUAGAUGUCCUGGGCCGCACGCGUGCUACACUGACGCAUACAGCGAGCACUUUCCAGUUCCGAGAGGCUACUGGUAAUCAUCAAUAUGCGUCGUGAUGGGGAUAGAUCUUUGGAAUUCUGGAUCUUGAACGAGGAAUGCCUAGUAAUCGCAGGUCAUUAGCCUGCGAUGAUUAAGUCCCUGCCCUUUGUACACACCGCCCGUCGCUACUACCGAUUUCGAGUGGUCAGGUGAAUCUUUCGGACUGUGGGCGCCCUUGAGGUGUUCGCGGAAAGUCAGGUAAAUCCUAUCACUUAGAGGAAGUAAAAGUCGUAACA
rnacentral:rRNA from 1 species